ACGCGAAAGCCCCGAAAGGGGCAAGUAGAGUGGCAAACGGGUGAGUAACACGUGGGUGACCUGCCUUCGAGCGGGGGAUAACGUCCCGAAAGGGACGCUAAUACCGCAUAACAUCCUGCCUUUGAAGAGGUGGAGAUCAAAGCUGGGGAUCGCAAGACCCGGCACUUGAAGAGGGGCCCGCGUCUGAUUAGCUAGUUGGUGGGGUAACGGCCUACCAAGGCAACGAUCAGUAUCCGGCCUGAGAGGGCGGACGGACACACUGGGACUGAGACACGGCCCAGACUCCUACGGGAGGCAGCAGUGGGGAAUUGUUCGCAAUGGGCGCAAGCCUGACGACGCAACGCCGCGUGGAGGAUGAAGAUUUUCGGAUCGUAAACUCCUGUCGAAUGGGACGAACAGAUUGCGGGUUAACAGCCCGUAGUCCUGACGGUACCGUUAAAGGAAACCCCGGCUAACUCCGUGCCAGCAGCCGCGGUAAUACGGGGGGGGUAAGCGUUGUUCGGAAUUACUGGGCGUAAAGGGCUCGUAGGCGGCCAACUAAGUCAUACGUGAAAUCCCUCAGCUUAACUGGGGAACUGCGUGUGAUACUGGAUGGCUUGGAUUUGGGAGAGGGAUGCGGAGUUCCAGGUGUAGCGGUGAAAUGCGUAGAUAUCUGGAGGAACACCGGUGGCGAAGGCGGCAUCCUGGACCAAUAUUGACGCUGAGGAGCG
rnacentral:rRNA from 1 species